rnacentral:rRNA from 1 species
AACGCGAAGAACCUUACCAGGUCUUGACAUCUCCUGACCGCCCUGGAGACAGGGUCUUCCCUUCGGGGACAGGAUGACAGGUGGUGCAUGGUUGUCGUCAGCUCGUGUCGUGAGAUGUUGGGUUAAGUCCCGCAACGAGCGCAACCCUUGGUUCUAGUUGCCAGCAUUGAGUUGGGCACUCUAGAGCGACUGCCGGCGACAAGUCGGAGGAAGGUGGGGAUGACGUCAAAUCAUCAUGCCCCUUAUGACCUGGGCUACACACGUGCUACAAUGGAUGGUACAAAGGGCAGCAAAGCGGCGACGCAUGAGCGAAUCCCAGAAAACCAUUCUCAGUUCGGAUUGCAGGCUGCAACUCGCCUGCAUGAAGCCGGAAUCGCUAGUAAUCGCGGAUCAGCAUGCCGCGGUGAAUACGUUCCCGGGCCUUGUACACACCG